GCGAAUUAUACCUAAAUUAAGGCACUAAAUCCCAUCAGAUCUUGGAAGCUAAGCAGUCAGUCUUGAUUAGUAGUUGGAUAGGAAAUUGCUAGCAAAUACCAGAUGCAAUAGGCU
rnacentral:rRNA from 1 species